CUGGGCUACUUUAGCACUGUCUGGUUCAUUCAUUCACCCAACAGCUAUUCCCAGAGAACCUUCUGGGUGGCAAGCUCUGUGCUAGAUGCUGGAGACGCAGCCAUGAACCAGACAGACACGGUCUCUGCCCUCACCGAGCCUACAGACUCCAUCUACAGAGGACAUCACUGCCUGAAUAGACAUUUCUCCAAAGAGGACAUCGAAAUGGCCAACAGACACAGGAAAAGAUGCUCGACACCGCUAAUCAUCAGGGACAUGCAAAUCAAAACCACAGUGAAACCACCUCACACCGGUUAGAAUGACUGCCAUCGGGAAGACAAGAGACGACAGGGGCUGGCAAGGAUGUCCAGAAAGGGGAACACUUGUGCACUGUUGGUGGGACUGUAAAUUGGUCCAACUGCUACGGAAAACAAUAUGGAGGCUCCUCAGAAAAUUAAAAAUAGAUCUGCCAUACGAUCCAGCAAUUCCACUUCUGGGUUUAUAUCCAAAGCAAAUGAAAACAGGAUUUCAAUGAGAUCCCUGCACCCCCAUGUUCAUCGCAGCAUUAUUCCCAAUAGCCAAGAUAUGGAAACAACCUAUGUGUCCAUCAACGGAGGAAUGGAUAAAGAAGAUGUGGUCUAUAUAUAUAUACAAUGGAAUAUUAUUCAGCCAUGAGAAAGGAAGAUAUCCUCCCAUUUGUGACAAGAGGGAUGGACGUUGAGUGCUUUCUGCUAAGCCAGAUAAGUCAGAGAGAGAAUGAGUAGUACUGUGUGAUCUCACUUAUAUGUGAAAUCUAAAGAAGUUAAAUCUAUGAAAAACAGAGAGUAAAAUGGGGGUCACCAGGGGAUGGGGGAGGGGAUAGGAGUGAUGGUGUUUAAGGGUACAAUUUGUAACAAGUAGUAAAUGAGCCACAGAGCUCUAACACACAGUAUAAUGAAUAUAGACAUAAUAUUGUAUUACAAUGAUGUAAUGUGAUAAAGUUCGCUACAUCGGCAAUUAUAUUACAAUAUAUCAAUGUAUCAAAGUAACACGUUAUACACCUUAAACUUACACAAUGUUACACAUCAAAUUUAUUCAAUAAAAAAGUAAUAAUAGGGGUGGACCUGGUGGCAUAGUGGGUAAGUUUGCGUGCUCCACUUUGGCAGCCUGGGGUUUGCAGGUUCGGAUCCUGGGCACAGACCUACACAUCACGCAUCAAGCCAUGCUGUGGCGGCAUCCCACAUACAAAAUAGAGGAAGAUGGGCACAGAUGUUAGCUCAGGGCCAAUCUUCCUCACCAAAAAAUGAUAAUAAUAAUAAUAACAGCUACCAUUUGUUGAGUAGCAAAAUAAAUAACUUUUAGCCAUAUAACUUAUUUCUAAAUAACUUGUGUAACCAUCACCACGUUUUUAUGAUCCCUCAUCUUACAGAUGAGAAAAAGGAGGCAAGAGUAUCCAUGCAGGUUGCUGAGAAUCACCAGCUAUUAAUUGGUGAAACUGGAAUUUGACCCAAG
rnacentral:lncRNA from 1 species